CCUACGGGAGGCAGCAGUGAGGAAUAUUGGUCAAUGGACGAGAGUCUGAACCAGCCAAGUAGCGUGAAGGAUGACUGCCCUAUGGGUUGUAAACUUCUUUUAUAUGGGAAUAAAAAGUGCCACGUGUGGGAUUUUGUAUGUACCAUAUGAAUAAGGAUCGGCUAACUCCGUGCCAGCAGCCGCGGUAAUACGGAGGAUCCGAGCGUUAUCCGGAUUUAUUGGGUUUAAAGGGAGCGUAGGUGGAUUGUUAAGUCAGUUGUGAAAGUCUGCGGCUCAACCGUAAAAUUGCAGUUGAAACUGGCAGUCUUGAGUACAGUAGAGGUGGGCGGAAUUCGUGGUGUAGCGGUGAAAUGCUUAGAUAUCACGAAGAACUCCGAUUGCGAAGGCAGUUCACUGGACUGCAACUGACACUGAGGCUCGAAAGUGUGGGUAUCAAACAGGAUUAGAUACCCGGGUAGUC
rnacentral:rRNA from 1 species